UACGGGGGGAGCAAGCGUUGUUCGGAUUUACUGGGCGUAAAGGGCGCGUAGGCGGUCAGCACAAGUCAGUUGUGAAAUCUCCGGGCUUAACUCGGAACGGCCAAGUGAAACUGUCAUGCUAGAGUGCAGAAGGGGCAAUCGGAAUUCUUGGUGUAGCGGUGAAAUGCGUAGAUAUCAAGAGGAACACCUGAGGUGAAGACGGGUUGCUGGGCUGACACUGACGCUGAGGCGCGAAAGCCAGGGGAGCAAACGGG
rnacentral:rRNA from 1 species